ensembl:snoRNA
CCCGCCACUGUACCUGUCUGGUAAUGCAGUGACUAGUACAAUCCAGAGGUGAGCUGACAGAAAAUGCCAACUUAGGAAACAGAGUUACUCUUUCUGUGGUGGGUAACUUUGUGCCGAAGUUUGGGAACACAA